rnacentral:tmRNA from 1 species
GGGGGUGAACGGUUUCGACUCUGGACGUUGAUUCAGGGGAAGCGUGCAGGUGCAGGCGGAUGGCCACCUCAAGCGUCGCCGCAAACCAAUAAGCGCCAAGGUUAAUAACCAGCGCGACGUCGCACUCGCCGCCUGAGCGAGUAGCGAUGUCUGUCGGCCCGGGGUCGCCUCCGACCCGGUCUGCCGGCAUCAGCUAGGAGGCUUACCGCAGCGGACUGGCCGCAGGGCCGCUGCGGGACACCAACAGCGGCUGGGCCCGUCACACCGGCUUGUUCACGUGACCGGCGGGGCCGAGUAGAGACACAGUGAGCUGCGCACGGAGAAGCCCUGUUGAAGCGACAGAGGACCCGGGUUCGAUUCCCGGCACCUCCACGG